CGCACUGUGAGUUCGCCUGCUCUAUCCACGGUGGUCAGCAAAAAAAAAAAACCCUUCUCCGAAUAUCUCCGCCGCGUCCCUAUCCGUCCUCUCCGCUUCCCCUCUCCCUCUCUCCUAGGCUCUCCCGAUGCGGGCGGCAGCGUCGGUGCCUGGCCCUCGGCACGACGGCGGUCGCCCUCGGCGCAGUGGUGGCCAUCUUCCUCCUCCUCCACGGCAACUCUCGCCAGGUGGCUGCCGCCGGCCGCAGCCACGGGCCCUACGUCGACCCCGGUGCCUGCAGUCGCCUCCCUCGAGGACGGUGUGGCAAUAGCAGGUGUCGCCGGUGGGUGCCCCUCCCUCCCCACCGACGCGGCCUGGUCCCGGCUACUCCGCUGCUCCUCCGUUGUACCCUCCUCUCGGUUUGGUCCUUCCUUCCCUCUCUUCUAACCUCGGGAUCUCCUUCUCCCAAUGCUCGCAGAGGCUGCCUCCCCUUCCCUAUGGACAACGAUCUAUGUGCAGAUGAAUUAUUUGCCUGUGUUGGAUGAAACCCUAGCUAGCUGUCCUUAUCUUUUUGGCACGUUUGUAGCAGUUCCGGCAAUCUCAGGCGUAAAUUCCUCAUCCCCUCCAAGUGUGAUGACAUUGCUCCCUUCCAAGAAUUCUCUCAGGAUGUGAGAUUUGGAGGGGGUGAAUCUUUUCUUCCCCUUUCCUCUUAGCAAUCUAUAUGGUUAAUACUAUGGUUGUUUUGGUGUUCUGUAGGGUGUGGCAUGCUCGGUUCGACUGGAUCUUGAGAGCAGGCAGUUAUUGCGCCAUACAUCUGAGCACGUGACCAUGUUAAUGAUAUUUGUUUGAUUUGUUACUAUGCAUGCCUAAUGAUUUCUAGUUUAUUGUUUGGAUGUUGGUCACCUGCAGUGAUGAGUACAUGCUUUUUGUCUUGUUACAAUCUAAUUUGAGGGAAUGGGCUGGUGCUGUGAUGAUACAUAUAAUGAUAAAUAUUCUGUUUACUGUUUGAUGCGAUGGUCAUGGCCUAUCCUUGCAUAGUUUACAUCUCUUCCUUUUUUUGGCAUAACUGAGGAAAUGCUCAUGAGCUAUGGUUGUUCUUCCUUUUACAUCUAUGUGCUAUAUUCAUGGCUGAGGCAAUGAUCAUGAGCAAUGUUUAUUCUAUUUUGGGCAUCUCUUUGUACAAAGCCGAUGGGUUUGGCCACCCCUUGGCUGUAGCCAUGGUAGCAGCUUUUUUCUAGUUGUGUGAUCCCAGUUAGUGAGAGAUAGUAGUAUUUAUUGCCUACUCGCUUUGCUUAUUAGGUCAGACAGCUUGCCAUUGAAGUUAGCUUCGUAUGGUGUUGCUUGUCAUGAUUUCAUCCAUUCUCUACUUUGGUCAUCGACUUUGGUUUUCCAGUCAGACGUGCUUAUGAUCAUUGUUUAUGAUGUCAAUAAUCACAUAAUUGUGCAGUCUAAGAUUGUGCUUACUGCCUGUGAAGUGGUAAAUAUGUUCUUGUUCAUUAUAGGCUUGUGAUCAUUGUCUUUGACCGUUGCUUCUGAUGUCAAAUUACGAACUGUUGUUUCUGAGCACUGGCCCUAUUCCCAAAGAUUAUAUUGUCAAACACUUUGCUUGUCUGUGAUCGUUUUUGCUUCUCUUUUCUCUUUGACUUUUGAGUACAAUUAUGUGCACUGCUGUUCUUCCAGCUCAGGUGGGAUACAACAAAGGUCAUUGUUUUCUUGGUUCAGAAGUUCAUCUAAACUUAGGUUUGUUUCCAGUGUGAAUAAAGAGUGGACUACAAUGUUUUAGGUUUGAAGACCUCUUACUCAUUAUGUUGUCUCCUCUUCUUGUUGUUUGUAGUUGGUAAUGUACAUUCCUCAUUUCAUUCCUCUUCUUUACUCCUUACAUACAAAAUCUUGUUACAUACAACUGAAAGUUAUUAACUGUACUUCUAUUUAUGAAUAUUGAUGCCAUUUCUAUUGUUGCAUCUUCUAGGUUUGCAGGACCAGUUCUAGUUUUCCAAGUGUCCCUGCUCCAAUACUGCUUGUAGACUAUGCUCAGCAAUCAAAGAUGAUUCAGUUCUGACGUUUUUUGCUUAUAUCUUGAAGCCAUGCGUGCUCGACAGUUGGGAAUUACUAAAUUUGAAGCAUGCUUUUGCAUGCUCAUUAUAAGCAUCUGUGGUGACGCAGCAAAAGUUGUCGGGCUCUCUGUCCAGAAAAUGACUAUCACAGUCCCCCUUGCCUCCUUUGAAAACAUUGAAGGGAUUUUUAAUCCCUCUCUGCAGAACUAUGAGGUUGGCUGUUCCAGCCAAAGUUUGAAGAUGAAAAUGAGGUGUACCAAUAGAAGCUCAUGUCAAACCUGCUCUCCUUACUUUCUCAAUGGCAGGGGACAAACACAGAGUUGCUCUCCAUUACCGUGCAUUCUGAUCUUUAUUAAAAAUGUUCAAAACAAUAAUGGUGGUGCCCUUACUUUUAUGAGGAUCAAGAAUUGGAAGGCGACAUUCAUUUGGACAAUUUUAUGAGCAUAUCCACCAAGUAGACGUGCUUCUUGCUAAUUACUGAAUUUUGAGACGAGUCACCAUUACAGACGAUGAGGCUUCUAAUGUUGCAGAAAUGGAUUUGUGCAUGCUAGUCGUAAUCUCUUUAUCCCUAUCCUUCACGUAAUGCUUUUUUCCCCUUUUAGUUUCCUAUUCUAGAUUCUAUAUUCAUUAUUCGGCAUGUAUAUCAUGGUGGUCUUUUGAAGCUAAACAAUGUUGUCAUAGAUCUAGAUUUUUUAGGUACAAGAAUAUUUGUAGGCACACAACAUUGAGUGCUCUUUAUCCAACUUUAAAAAAUACCGUAACCACAUAAUGCAUACCAUAUAUUGUUGUGCACUCUAAUGGCUUCUUUGUAUUACCUACGCUUUAGUUCAUAGUCUGAACUAUAUGUUAUAGACAAAUUCCUGUGAGUUUGAAAGAUCUGUUCAUUACUAUGCUAUCUUCAACCUAAAUUGAUUGGUAAAAUUUUAUAAUGGUCUAAUUGGAACUUUGUUCUAUAGAAAAUGUUGUGUGCUCUCUCUUAUCUAGCUCUUAGACUUAAUCCAGAAUGGUCAUGAAGAUGGACUGGUAUGAGCCUCAUGCAUGGGGGAAAUGGCUGUAGCCCUCAAAACUGGCUAUCAAGCGAUGAGAGGUCAAAGUGAUAGCUUGCAGCUUACAAGGGUGACCCAAUAAUGAGCUGCUGCUACAGUGAGGUUGGCCUCCUAUGAAAAGGAAGAAAAAAAUUAGAAUCUGGAUGAGUACUUAGGAACUGGAUAGUAAAGCACAUGAAGAUACAUCAAGCUCAUAACUAAAUGCAGGCGUGUUAUCUGCCAAUCCACGCAACUAUGGAAAUCUCAUUUUUUUUACCAUAAUUCAUUAUAGAGAUUUACAUGUGUCAUUUCCAUACAUUUUGUGAUGAUUAGGUUUUGUACCAUUUAGCCCUUGUUCCAUUUGAUUUUGGCCAAUUGGAAGAUUAUUGUUGCAUUGCUGUUUAGAUCAAAGUCUCGAACCAUCUAAAAGUUCCAGACAAAUUGUGAAUGUGAAGGUACAUUUUUGCUGCAGCUCAUGUCUAGGUUCUCCAACAAAAGUGUAAAUCACAGUUAUAAAUAUGGAAAAUUGUGAAAACAAAAUCUUUAUGUUUGCCUGAUGUACCACUAACCCAUUUAAUAAUGCCCAUUCUUGUUGCCGAAAUCCAUGGCCAUCUACAUGUUUGCUAGCCUAUACUUAGAUGUGUGGUGGACUAGAAGAAAGUAGCUGAUUGCUAAACUCUAAGACUAAAUAUUAAUUGUUAAAUCCUCAAGUUAAAUAAUUAUAUAUGUUGUGCAUGGCCAUGUAGCCCAGCGCCUUAUAUAUACUUUCCAUGGACAUAUGGUAUUCCAUUAGAAAUAAGUCAACAAGAUGCUAGCUGUAGCAUUCAAAUCAUCAGCCUUGUGUUUCAGUCGUCUAUGAUGGACUCUGGAAAAAAAAUGUGUUUAUGUUUGGGUAAUAUUCCACAUUCCACGACUCUAAUUUGUUACUCAGAUGUUUUAGCCAUUAGUGAUGUCAAAUAUCAAAGGUUUGUCUAGGUAAUACUAGACCUACAAGUAAUAUUAUGCCUUCUAAAUAUGAGCAUAUUUGAUUGGCCACUGAAAGGAUAAACAAAGGUUAAAAACCUCUCCGAUCAUUUUAGCAUCUCAUACAUCCAGUUCUUGCCCUUUUAAUGUAUCUUUUUCUGAAAUGAAGGUUAUCAUCAGCCUAUCGGGGAAAAAAGUAAGUUCACUUUUUAGACCACCAUUUCAUGAUUUAUGAAUGAAGUUAAGAAUUUGCUUCUUUAGUUCACAGAAUUAAUUACUCCAUACAAAACAGUUCUACUCUAAUCCAAAUGGAACCCCUCCUAUCAUACAUGUUUGUGGUUACAUCUACAAAAAAAAUAUAAGUACAACAAACAUUCUACCUCAUGUAUGACGGUGCGAGUACUUAUUUAUUAUUCAAUUUACCAAAUGCACUAUGGAUCCAAUUGCUCUAUCAUUAUACAUCUACUUUGGUACCUUGAUACUCCAACAUUUUGAUCAAAUCAUGAUUGCUAUCUUUUUUAGGCCUCUAAAAUUUUUAAAGGUUUCCUGUCUACUCUUCUUUUCCUACGAUCUAAGGCCUUCUAAUCAGGUUGGCACUGCCUAGAUUUGUGUUGGAUUUGCUAACUCCACAAGGGACUCUUUAAAAAUAAGUUCUAACUAAUUUAUAUUAUACUAUUUGUUUUUUCUCAUUUCAUAUUUGAAUCAGUUUAGCAUCGCCUACAUCUGUACUGGAUUCUUUCUCCUCCAGGGAAUAUUGAGCCUCCAGUUUUUACUAUGAAUUUCUAUCAGUAAAUUUUGCAAACAUAUGCUUGCUUCCUAAUAUUAUGACUUUAUACAGGUAUAAAUUCACAUAACCAAACAACUGAGGCCACCUCGACAUGUCAAACCUAUGUAUCUAUAGAUAAGGCCACCUCGAGGACAGAAUUUGGCAACAUGUUUAUGGACUUUUAGACCUUCUCAGUACUGUGUACGCUUUAAAAUACUUCUGCUCAAAUCCUGUCUAUUUUCUCUGCGUCAGAAAACUAAGUAUAUUGCUUCAAUCUGUUGUACCCUGUGUUACUAUUUUUGUGUAAUGGCCAUGAUAACCAUGACCUCAAAACAUACAGACCCACCUUAUCUGGCUUGUUCACAUUCAUUCCCAAUUAGACUCUGUGACUCUAAAUGCAAAGUAAACCAUGCUGCUUAUGAAACCAGCAGCUGCUUAUUA